rnacentral:rRNA from 1 species
GAUGAACGCUGGCGGCGUGCCUAAUACAUGCAAGUCGAGCGAACAGAUAAGGAGCUUGCUCCUUUGACGUUAGCGGCGGACGGGUGAGUAACACGUGGGUAACCUACCUAUAAGACUGGGAUAACUUCGGGAAACCGGAGCUAAUACCGGAUAACAUUUGGAACCGCAUGGUUCUAAAGUGAAAGAUGGUUUUGCUAUCACUUAUAGAUGGACCCGCGCCGUAUUAGCUAGUUGGUAAGGUAACGGCUUACCAAGGCAACGAUACGUAGCCGACCUGAGAGGGGGAUCGGCCACACUGGAACUGAGACACGCACCAGACUACUACGGGAGGCAGCAGUAGGGAAUCUUCCGCAAUGGGCGAAAGCCUGACGGAGCAACGCCGCGUGAGUGAUGAAGGGUUUCGGCUCGUAAAACUCUGUUAUUAGGGAAGAACAAACGUGUAAGUAACUGUGCAGGUCUUGACGGUACCUAAUCAGAAAGCCACGGCUAACUACGUG